rnacentral:sRNA from 1 species
CCAUCUCAGCCCUCCAGAUCCUUCUGUUCUCCCUAGAUUGUCUACAACCUGUUGUCUCUGCGCUUCAACUCACGGAUCCGUGUGAAGACCUACACAGAUGAGCUGACGCCCAUUGAGUCUGCUGUCUCUGUGUUCAAGGCAGCCAACUGGUAUGAAAGGGAGAUCUGGGACAUGUUUGGAGUCUUCUUUGCUAACCACCCUGAUCUAAGAAGGAUCCUGACAGAUUAUGGCUUCGAGGGACAUCCUUUCCGGAAAGACUUUCCUCUAUCUGGCUAUGUUGAGUUACGUUAUGAUGAUGAAGUGAAGCGGGUGGUGGCAGAGCCGGUGGAGUUGGCCCAAGAGUUCCGCAAAUUUGACCUGAACAGCCCCUGGGAGGCUUUCCCAGUCUAUCGCCAACCCCCGGAGAGUCUCAAGCUUGAAGCCGGAGACAAGAAGCCUGAAGCCAAGUAGCUCCAGGGAAGGCAUGUGGAUCCUAGACAGCGCCUUAUCUAUGAUUGCGUGUCCGUGUAAAUAAAUUCCUACUUAGACUU